UAACGAAUCUUCCGCAAUGGGCGCAAGCCUGACGGAGCAAUGCCGCGUGUGGGAUGAAGCGUCUCUGACGUGUAAACCACUGUCAGGGGUUAGAAACAAUGAUCAACCCCAAAGGAAGUGGCGACUAACUCUGUGCCAGCAGUCGCGGUAAUACAGAGGACACAAGCGUUAGUCGGAAUCACUGGGCUUAAAGGGUGCGUAGGCUGGUCCGCAAGCGUCUUGUGAAAGCCCUCGGCUCAACCGAGGAACAGCAGGGCGAACUGCGGAUCUUGAGGCAGGUAGGGGUCGCGAGAACAGUAGGUGGAGCGGUGAAAUGCGUAGAUAUCUACUGGAAUGCCGAUGGUGAAGACGCGCGACUGGGCCUGUCCUGACGCUGAGGCACGAAAGCGUGGGGAGCAAACAGGAUUAGAUACCCCCGUAGUCCCUGAGCGGGCUGGCAAGGCGCAU
rnacentral:rRNA from 1 species